rnacentral:rRNA from 1 species
GACGAACCGUACGAACGUUAUUCGGAAUCACUGGGCUUAAAGGGUGCGUAGGCUGCGCAGCAAGUUGGGUGUGAAAUCCCUCGGCUUAACCGAGGAACUGCGCCCACAACUGCUGUGCUCGAGGGAGACAGAGGUGAGCGGAACUUAGGGUGGAGCGGUGAAAUGCGUUGAUAUCCAUAGGAACACCGGUGGCGAAGGCGGGUCUCUGGGCCAUUACUGACGCUGAGGAGCGAAAGCGUGGGGAGCGAACAGG